rnacentral:rRNA from 1 species
AUUGAACGCUGGCGGCAUGCCUAACACAUGCAAGUCGAACGAGAUCACCUCGGUGGUCUAGUGGCGGACGGGUGAGUAAUACAUGGGAAUCUGCCUUUUAGUGGGGGAUAACGUAGGGAAACUUACGCUAAUACCGCAUACGCUCUACGGAGGAAAGGAGGGGAUCGCAAGACCUUUCGCUAAAAGAUGAGCCCAUGUCUGAUUAGCUAGUUGGUGGGGUAAAGGCCUACCAAGGCGACGAUCAGUAGCCGGCCUGAGAGGGUGUACGGCCACACUGGGACUGAGACACGGCCCAGACUCCUACGGGAGGCAGCAGUGGGGAAUAUUGGACAAUGGGCGAAAGCCUGAUCCAGCAAUGCCGCGUGUGUGAAGAAGGCCUUAGGGUUGUAAAGCACUUUAAGCAGGAAAGAAGAGGGUUGUAUUAAUACCAUAACCUUUUGACGUUACCUGCAGAAUAAAGCACCGGCUAACUCCGUG